ACAGGGAUUGCCCUAGUAACGGCGAGUGAAGCGGCAACAGCUCAAAUUUGAAAUCUGGCUCUUUUAGAGUCCGAGUUGUAAUUUGCAGAGGGCGCUUUGGCUUUGGCAGCGGUCCAAGUUCCUUGGAACAGGACGUCACAGAGGGUGAGAAUCCCGUACGUGGUCGCUGGCUAUUGCCGUGUAAAGCCCCUUCGACGAGUCGAGUUGUUUGGGAAUGCAGCUCUAAAUGGGAGGUACAUUUCUUCUAAAGCUAAAUAUUGGCCAGAGACCGAUAGCGCACAAGUAGAGUGAUCGAAAGAUGAAAAGCACUUUGGAAAGAGAGUCAAACAGCACGUGAAAUUGUUGAAAGGGAAGCGCUUGCAGCCAGACUUGCUUACAGUUGCUCAUCCGGGUUUCUACCCGGUGCACUCUUCUGUAGGCAGGCCAGCAUCAGUUUGGGCGGUAGGAUAAAGGUCUCUGUCACGUACCUCCUUUCGGGGAGGCCUUAUAGGGGAGACGACAUACUACCAGCCUGGACUGAGGUCCGCGCAUCUGCUAGGAUGCUGGCGUAAUGGCUGUAAGCGGCCCGUCUUGAAACACGGACCAAGGAGUCUAACAUCUAUGCGAGUGUUUGGGUGUCAAGCCCGAGCGCGUAAUGAAAGUGAACGGAGGUGGGAACCCGCAUGGGUGCACCAUCGACCGAUCCUGAUGUCUUCGGAAGGAUUUGAGUAAGAGCAUGGCUGUUGGGACCCGAAAGAUGGUGAACUAUGCUUGAAUAGGGUGAAGCCAGAGGAAACUCUGGUGGAGGCUCGCAGCGGUUCUGACGUGCAAAUCGAUCGUCAAAUGUGGGCAUAGGGGCGAAAGACUAAU
rnacentral:rRNA from 1 species